AUGUCUCUGCCUUGUGUUCCCAGGAAUGGACACAAUGUCACGGUCACAAGUGCCAUGUUCCCAAGUCUUGGAACACAGGAAAAGGAGGUUCUGCCUGGCUGGCUGGAGAAUCUGAGGAGGAAAUGGCAAGAGGAAGCAAGGAAGGAGGCCAUGGCAAGCAAGGUUUGUCCAUUCAUGCAGUAUAUCUACCUACCUGUAUACAGCCAUACACAUCACCAGAGGUUUUUCACUGUUGUUGCUGCACCUGAAUCUGCAAUGGGUAGGUCCCCAGGGCCAAGGAGGGGGAGUGCCCUGCUUCUGCCUCUGUUUCUCACCUGCUUCUUCUCAGGGGCAACGAGGCGGGCGGAGUCGGCCCGGGAGUUCACGCUCAUCAACCAGUGCAAGACGGAGGUGUGGCCGGCGGUGACGCCGGGCGAGAGCUUCGGGGGCGGCGGGUAUGCGCUCCGUGCAGGCGAGUCGGUGGUGUUCACCGCCCCCGUGGGGUGGUCGGGCCGCGUGUGGGGCCGCACCGGCUGCACCUUUGACUCGGCCGGCAACGGCACGUGCGAGACGGGCGGGUGCGGCACGUCGCUGCAGUGCGAAUCGGCGUCGGGGGCCGCUCCGGCGACGCUGGCGGAGUUCACGCUGGCGGCGACUGACUACUACGACGUGAGCCUGGUGGACGGCUUCAACCUCCCCGUGGUGGUGACCCCGACCCCGACGAGCGCCAACUGGACAGGCUGCGCCCCGGCGGGGUGCGACGGUGACCUGCGCCGGGGCUGCCCGUCGGAGCUGGCCGUGAAGGGCGACGGGGGGAAGGUGGUGGCUUGCCGGAGCGCGUGCGACGUGUUCGGGACCGACCAGUACUGCUGCCGUGGUCAGUAUGCCAACCCGGUGGCCUGCCAGCCGACCUUCUACUCGAAGAAGUUCAAGGCGGCAUGCCCGGCCGCCUACAGCUACGCCUACGACGACCCCUCCUCCAUCUUCACCCGCGCCCAGUCGCCCGACUACACCAUCACCUUCUGCUCCAGCAACAUGAAGCAAUCGGUGUGUUCGUACCGCGACAGCCGGCUUGUCUGCAGCGGCUCCGGCAGGAGCACCUCCUCUGGUCUAAUGCUGCUGCUGCUGCUCUCCAGCUUCGUGGCAUUGCAAUUUGCAACCCCAGUGUGA
rnacentral:rRNA from 1 species